rnacentral:rRNA from 1 species
AGUGAACGCUGGCGGUAGGCCUAACACAUGCAAGUCGAACGGCAGCACAGUAAGAGCUUGCUCUUACGGGUGGCGAGUGGCGGACGGGUGAGGAAUACAUCGGAAUCUACUUUUUCGUGGGGGAUAACGUAGGGAAACUUACGCUAAUACCGCAUACGACCUACGGGUGAAAGUAGGGGAUCUUCGGACCUUGCGCGAUUGAAUGAGCCGAUGUCGGAUUAGCUAGUUGGCGGGGUAAAGGCCCACCAAGGCGACGAUCCGUAGCUGGUCUGAGAGGAUGAUCGGCCACACUGGAACUGAGAUACGGUCCAGACUCCUACGGGAGGCAGCAGUGGGGAAUAUUGGACAAUGGGCGCAAGCCUGAUCCAGCCAUACCGCGUGGGUGAAGAAGGCCUUCGGGUUGUAAAGCCCUUUUGUUGGGAAAGAAAAGCAGCAGGUUAAUACCCCGCUGUUCUGACGGUACCCAAAGAAUAAGCACCGGCUAACUUCGUG